UACAGAGGUCUCGAGCGUUAGGCGGAAUCACUGGGCUUAAAGCGUGUGUAGGCGGAUCGUUAAGUGCCUUGUGAAAUCCCACGGCUCAACCGUGGAACUGCUUGGCAUACUGGCGGUCUUGAGCAACCUAGGGGCGAGCGGAACAAAUGGUGGAGCGGUGAAAUGCGUAGAUAUCAGGAGGAACACCGAUGGCGAAGGCAGGUCUCUGGGCAUUAACUGACGCUGAGGAGCGAAAGCAUGGGGAGCGAACAGG
rnacentral:rRNA from 1 species